AGCGAACGCUGGCGGCAGGCUUAACACAUGCAAGUCGAACGGGCGUAGCAAUACGUCAGUGGCAGACGGGUGAGUAACGCGUGGGAACGUACCUUUUGGUUCGGAACAACCCAGGGAAACUUGGGCUAAUACCGGAUAAGCCCUUACGGGGAAAGAUUUAUCGCCGAAAGAUCGGCCCGCGUCUGAUUAGCUAGUUGGUGAGGUAACGGCUCACCAAGGCGACGAUCAGUAGCUGGUCUGAGAGGAUGAUCAGCCACAUUGGGACUGAGACACGGCCCAAACUCCUACGGGAGGCAGCAGUGGGGAAUAUUGGACAAUGGGCGCAAGCCUGAUCCAGCCAUGCCGCGUGAGUGAUGAAGG
rnacentral:rRNA from 1 species